rnacentral:lncRNA from 1 species
GGCGCAUCAGGCUCGGCCUCCUCUAUUUCCGGUGAGUUCAUCCUAUUUUUUUCUCCUUCACUAGCAUUCAUUUUUAUGUAGUUAUUUCAUUUAUCCAUGACAUCGACCAUCCUCUGUUUCAGUUAUGAAGUAAUAACAAAUGUGUCGUGCAAUGCCUGUAGAAAAGAGUUAUUAGUUGUUCCAGUCUUUGCUUGUACCUUUAUGGCGAGUAGGCUUAACUCUUUCGAACUGUAAUCUUGUCUUAGGUGGAUUCGUUUUUACAACCAACAGAAAAGAAUUGUGCCUUGGACCAUUUUUUUUCUGUAAUUGAGAAAACUUUCAAGCUAUAAUCAUAUGGGUUGAUGUGAUACAUUAUUAUUUGGCUCCACCAGAUUAACAGUUCAUAAUUACUGAUUAAUGUGGUAAUUUUUAGAGAGUGCCUAAUUAGUAUAAGUAUAGACUUCAAGAAUUAAUAGGUGCUAGAGGUACUAACAUUUUGUUCUUCUGUUUCCUAGGUUCAGAAAAUAAUGGAGAAGAUCUCAGAAAAAACAAGAACACAGAUUGCUGCUAAGGGAUAUAUUCUUUAGGAUGGAUUUGUGAUGAGCAAUCUCCCUGUUCCACCAAGCAUGCAGGAACAUAAAGGGUAUGUAGAUAAUCAGCAAAUUAAGUGCAUACUAUAUACUUGAUCAAAACUGUAUGUUAACAAGAAGUAGAGGACAUGACGGGAGGAGGGAACAAGAAGCUUCGUUUAUCAUUGAUGUUAUGUGUGAUCAACAAAAACUUGUGCUUCUCAUACAAUCUUUGUCGAACUAUGUUGAUGUGUGAUUAUGCACUUGUAGAAUUAUAUUGUUGUGCACUUGUUGGGACUUGAACCUUUAUGUGUAGAGGAGUCGAUGGAUGAUGUAUUGUAAUUUAUGUGACG